AUUUCAAAAGUUUCUAAAUCUGCUA
rnacentral:sRNA from 1 species